rnacentral:rRNA from 1 species
CGCGUAGGCGGUCGGUCAAGUCGGUUGUGAAAGCCCUCGGCUCAACCGAGGAACUGCAUCCGAUACUGAUCGGCUAGAGUAUGGAAGGGGAGAGUGGAACUCCUGGUGGAGCGGUGAAAUGCGUAGAUAUCAGGAGGAACGCCGAUGGCGAAAGCGACUCUCUGGUCCACAACUGACGCUGAGGCGCGAAAGCCAGGGGAGCAAACG